rnacentral:tRNA from 1 species
GCCCACGUAGCUCAGCUGGUAGAGCACGUCAUUGGUAAUGACGAGGUCACCGGUUCAAGUCCGGUCGUGGGCUCCA